rnacentral:snoRNA from 1 species
AGAUCAUGAUGAAGACAAUGUCAAAGUAAUUCUUUGUAUCUUUCCUAAGUUUCAUACAACGAUUCAAAAUCUUUCUGCAUAAAUGAUGUACUAUCAUUCCUCAUUUU